rnacentral:piRNA from 1 species
UGNGAUGCCAGUAAAAGAAGCCUUUCCAA